CACGCCCUAAACGAUGUCGACUAGUCGUUCGGAGCAGCAAUGCACUGAGUGACGCAGCUAACGCGUGAAGUCGACCGCCUGGGGAGUACGGCCGCAAGGUUAAAACUCAAAGGAAUUGAC
rnacentral:rRNA from 1 species